UACAGAGGUCUCAAGCGUUGUUCGGAUUCAUUGGGCGUAAAGGGUGCGUAGGCGGCGCGGUAAGUCGGGUGUGAAAUCUUGGAGCUUAACUGCGAAACUGCAUUCGAUACUGCCGUGCUUGAGGACUGGAGAGGAGACUGGAAUUUACGGUGUAGCGGUGAAAUGCGUAGAUAUCGUAAGGAAGACCAGUGGCGAAGGCGGGUCUCUGGACAGUUCCUGACGCUGAGGCACGAAGGCCAGGGGAGCAAACGGG
rnacentral:rRNA from 1 species